rnacentral:ncRNA from 12 species
AAUCUCCAGAGGACGGAACAGGCAGCCGUCGCCCGUCAAAAGACGUUAGGAGAUGCAGGAUGGUCACCCUGCCGGAGAUU